UACGAAGGGGGCUAGCGUUGCUCGGAAUUACUGGGCGUAAAGGGCGCGUAGGCGGACAUUUAAGUCAGGGGUGAAAUCCCAGAGCUCAACUCUGGAACUGCCUUUGAUACUGGGUGUCUUGAGUGUGAGAGAGGUAUGUGGAACUCCGAGUGUAGAGGUGAAAUUCGUAGAUAUUCGGAAGAACACCAGUGGCGAAGGCGGCUCACUGGCUCAUACUGGACGCUGAGGUGCGAAAGCGUGGGGAGCAAACAGG
rnacentral:rRNA from 1 species